rnacentral:rRNA from 1 species
AGUGAACGCUGGCGGUAGGCCUAACACAUGCAAGUCGAACGGCAGCACAGUAAGAGCUUGCUCUUACGGGUGGCGAGUGGCGGACGGGUGAGGAAUACAUCGGAAUCUACUUUUUCGUGGGGGAUAACGUAGGGAAACUUACGCUAAUACCGCAUACGACCUACGGGUGAAAGCAGGGGAUCUUCGGACCUUGCGCGAUUGAAUGAGCCGAUGUCGGAUUAGUUAGUUGGCGGGGUAAAGGACCACCAAGGCGACGAACCGUAGCUGGUCUGAGAGGAUGAUCCGCCACAAUGGAACGGAGACACAGUCCAAACUCCCAGGAGGCGCAGAAGAGAGGAAUAUUGGACAAUGGGCGCAGGCCUGAUCCAGCCAUACCGCGUGGGUGAAGAAGGCCUUCGGGUUGGAAAGCCCGUUUGUUGGGAAAGAAAAGCAACAGGUUAAAACCCCGCUGUACUAACGGUACCCAAAGAAUAAGCACCGGCUAACUUCGUG